rnacentral:rRNA from 1 species
GUAGGGAAUAUUGGACAAUGGGGGCAACCCUGAUCCAGCCAUGCCGCGUGUGUGAAGAAGGUCUUCGGAUUGUAAAGCACUUUAAGUUGGGAGGAAGGGCAGUAAGUUAAUACCUUGCUGUUUUGACGUUACCGACAGAAUAAGCACCGGCUAACUUCGUGCCAGCAGCCGCGGUAAUACGAAGGGUGCAAGCGUUAAUCGGAAUUACUGGGCGUAAAGCGCGCGUAGGUGGUUUUGUAAGUUGGAGGUGAAAUCCCCGGGCUCAACCUGGGAACUGCCUCCAAAACUGAAUGACUAGAGUACGGUAGAGGGUAGUGGAAUUUCCUGUGUAGCGGUGAAAUGCGUAGAUAUAGGAAGGAAAACCAGUGGCGAAGGCGACUACCUGGACUGAUACUGACACUGAGGUGCGAAAGCGUGGGGAGCAAACAGGAUUAGAAACCCGGGUAGUCC